GACCGAAGCCAACUGCUCGUUUCUCAUAAGAAAACUGUAAAUGCAUCUCCUUCGAAACACAUCUUUCUUGAUCCAAGAUCUGAGAUCUUCAACAAGAUUUCGUUCAAUUUCGCAGGUGAAGUUUGCAGGAAAUAUAUCAAGAAGUUCCUCCAAUGGAUGUACUAAGAUUUUACUUAUUUAGAACAGAAAUUUGAACAUACUUUCCUAUUUGUUAUCAAUGUUUAAUACUG
rnacentral:misc_RNA from 1 species